rnacentral:antisense_RNA from 1 species
CUUGGCCGAGCCCAGCAGCAGCGGCCGGCCGGCGCGCUGCCCGUAGGUCGCCAGGACCGCCUGCGCCUC